rnacentral:rRNA from 1 species
GUCUGUUCUGCCCGUUGAAUAUUAUAGUUUGAAAGGCCGCAGUAUCUUGACUGUGCAAAGGUAGCAUAAUCAUUAGUUUUUUAAUUGAAGGCUUGAAUGAAUGAUCGAACAAGAACUCAGCUGUCUUUUCUGAUUAAAAUUGAAUUUUAUUUUUAAGUGAAAAAGCUUAAAUAAAUAAGAAAGACGAUAAGACCCUAUAAAUCUUUAUGAAAUUUAGUUUUUAAAAUUAAUAUUUUAAGUUAAGCAAAUUUUAAAAGUUAUAUCAUUGUGCUGGGGUGGUAAAGAUAUAAAAAAUAAACUGUCAGAAAAUAAAACAAAAAUAUUUGUUUGUAAAAGAUCCUAUAUAUGGAUUAAAAGAAUAAGUUACUUUAGGGAUAACAGCAUAAUUUCUUUUGAGAGUCCUAAUCGAAAAAGAAGCUUGUGACCUCGAUGUUGAAUUAAGGAAUCCU